rnacentral:rRNA from 1 species
CCCAGACUCCUACGGGAGGCAGCAGUGGGGAAUAUUGCACAAUGGGGGAAACCCUGAUGCAGCGACGCCGCGUGAGCGAUGAAGUAUUUCGGUAUGUAAAGCUCUCUCAGCAGGGAAGAAAAUGACGGUACCUGACUAAGAAGCCCCGGCUAACUACGUGCCAGCAGCCGCGGUAAUACGUAAGGGGCAAGCGUUAUCCGGAUUCACUGGGCGUAAAGGGAGCGUAGACGGCGAUGCAAGUCUGAAGUGAAAGGCGGGGGCCCAACCCCCGGACUGCUUUGGAAACUGUAUGGCUGGAGUGCAGGAGAGGUAAGUGGAAUUCCUAGUGUAGCGGUGAAAUGCGUAGAUAUUAGGAGGAACACCAGUGGCGAAGGCGGCUUACUGGACUGUAACUGACGUUGAGGCUCGAAAGCGUGGGGAGCAAACAGGAUUAGAUACCCCCGUAUU